rnacentral:lncRNA from 10 species
GCAGAGACUUGAGACUGCGGGCACCCGCUGCCAUUAGGAUUGUUGAAUGAGCUGUGAGAAGGGAGUGGGGGAUAUGGGACUCUUAGAUUGAAAAAAUACUGGAGCCUCUUAGUUGUUCGUCUAGUUUCACCUUUUGAUUUUGUUGAUGAAAAAUAAUUAACCACAGAAGUAACUUGCCCAAAGUCAAACAGCGACUUAGUGAUGGAACUCGGACUAGAACCCGGUGUCAGUAUGAAAGAGGAUCAGCAAUGUCUGUAAGGACAUGAUUGUGAGAGAGAGAGUAGUGAAUACUAGGAAGGUGC